rfam:Macleaya cordata isolate BLH2017 scaffold1713, whole genome shotgun sequence.
GAGCAAAUGAUGAAAGAAAUUAAUAUGUUUCUGAUUAUCAAUGAAGCUUCAAACAUCGAGCUUUUUAAAACUGAUGCUCA